AGAGAGAAGGAGAGAGAGAAGGAGAGAGAGAGAGAGCUCAGCAAGAAAAGUCACAACGUGCCGUUGAAGCUGAGGUAGGUCCCACCCAGGACCUGGUGUAUCCUAGGCAAGCACUCUACCACUGAGAUACCCAGCCCGGCAUGAAUGCUCCAACAGCCACAAGACCCUACUCUCCUGCCUUAGCAUCCUGGCAUCGUUUUCCACUAAGAAGAACCAGAGCUCUGGAGAACGAACUGGCUUUGGAACUGGAGGGGGAAAAAAAAGUACCAAAUAAACUAGUAUUAUUUAUUUA